rnacentral:rRNA from 1 species
AUUGAACGCUGGCGGCAUGCUUUACACAUGCAAGUCGAACGGUAACAGGCCGCGAGGUGCUGACGAGUGGCGAACGGGGGAGUAAUGCAUCGGAACGUGCCCAGACGUGGGGGAUAACUACUCGAAAGAGUAGCUAAUACCGCAUACGAUCUAAGGAUGAAAGCGGGGAACGGAAGGCCUCGCGCGAAUGGAGCGGGCGAUGUCAGAUUAGGUAGUUGGUGGGGUAAAGGCUCACCAAGCCAACGAUCUGUAGCUGGUCUGAGAGGACGACCAGCCACACUGGAACUGAGACACGGCCCAGACUCCUACGGGAGGCAGCAGUGGGGAAUUUUGGACAAUGGGCGCAAGCCUGAUCCAGCAAUGCCGCGUGCAGGAAGAAGGCCUUCGGGUUGUAAACUGCUUUUGUACGGAACGAAACGGCUCUGGUUAAUACCCGGGGCUAAUGACGGCACCGUAAGAAUAAGCACCGGCUAACUACGUG